GAUGAACGCUGGCUACAGGCUUAACACAUGCAAGUCGAGGGGAAACGACGGGGAAGCUUGCUUCCCCGGGCGUCGACCGGCGCACGGGUGAGUAACGCGUAUCCAACCUGCCUCUGACUGAGGGAUAACCCGUCGAAAGUCGGCCUAAUACCUCAUGGUAUCGUCUGCGGGCAUCCAACGACGAUUAAAGAUUUCAUCGGUCAGGGAUGGGGAUGCGUCUGAUUAGCUUGUUGGCGGGGUAACGGCCCACCAAGGCUACGAUCAGUAGGGGUUCUGAGAGGAAGGUCCCCCACAUUGGAACUGAGACACGGUCCAAACUCCUACGGGAGGCAGCAGUGAGGAAUAUUGGUCAAUGGGCGAGAGCCUGAACCAGCCAAGUAGCGUGCAGGAAGACGGCCCUAUGGGUUGUAAACUGCUUUUAUGCGGGGAUAAAGUGAGGGACGUGUCCCUCAUUGCAGGUACCGCAUGAAUAAGGACCGGCUAAUUCCGUGCCAGCAGCCGCGGUAAUACGGAAGGUCCUGGCGUUAUCCGGAUUUAUUGGGUUUAAAGGGAGCGCAGGCCGUGGAUUAAGCGUGUUGUGAAAUGCAGGUGCUCAACGUCUGAACUGCAGCGCGAACUGGUCCACUUGAGUGUGCGCAACGCAGGCGGAAUUCGUCGUGUAGCGGUGAAAUGCUUAGAUAUGACGAAGAACUCCGAUUGCGAAGGCAGCUUGCGGGAGCACAACUGACGCUGAAGCUCGAAAGUGCGGGUAUCGAACAGG
rnacentral:rRNA from 1 species